rnacentral:rRNA from 1 species
CCUACGGGGGGCAGCAGUGAGGAAUAUUGGUCAAUGGACGAGAGUCUGAACCAGCCAAGUAGCGUGAAGGAUGACUGCCCUAUGGGUUGUAAACUUCUUUUAUAUGGGAAUAAAAUGUUCCACGUGUGGGAUUUUGUAUGUACAAUAUGAAUAAGGAUCGGCUAACUCCGUGCCAGCAGCCGCGGUAAUACGGAGGAUCCGAGCGUUAUCCGGAUUUAUUGGGUUUAAAGGGAGCGUAGGUGGAUUGUUAAGUCAGUUGUUAAAGGUUGCGGCUCAACAGUAAAAUUGCAGUUGAAACUGGCAGUCUUGAGUACAGUAGAGGUGGGCGGAAUGCGUGGUGUAGCGGUGAAAUGCUUAGAGAUCACGAAGAACUCCGAUUGCGAAGGCAGCUCACUGGACUGCAACUGACACUGAGGCUCGAAAGUGUGGGUAUCAAACAGGAUUAGAUACCCGGGUAGUC